UCCAAUGAAUGCUUCUAGAAGCUUCUAUUUCACUUUGUGAUGGAGGUGGUUUAUGCAUAACAAGUUAAAGGUUGUCUGAGGUCUAAUCACAAAAAUGAAACUAAUAAUGGACCUAAACGAAUACUUCUCUUGUUAAAGGAAAACCUAAAAUGAAUUAGGAAUCCUAAUUUGUGGUGCUGGAUUAUGUUUUCAUUUCACCAUUUCCUACUGUAGAAAUGUAGGAUUUCCACCCAUCUGAAAGCUUUGGAAAUCGCUCCUCCCAAAUGCAUGAUGUGCAUAGAUUUUGACUUUGUUGGACUAUCGGCCUUCGCUUUUUGAGGCUUCCUUUACCCUAUAAUUUGUCUUCUCGGUUCUUUUCUGCAUUGUUGUGGCAACACCUCUAGGUAAUAUUGUAACUUCUGUUCAGUUUCUCAGAUGUGUAAGCUUAAUUUUGCAGGUCUUACAUGUGGCAUGUUUUUGAAAGACGAAAUUCAAGUAGCUUACCCCGAUAGUGUUGCUGGUCUUUAUGUAAAGACCAGGAAUGAUGAAAUCGUCAAGGUCUUGCUGAAGGGUUUAUCUCGAGAGGAGCUAAAGACAUCAGUAUACAGUCUUUGCAGCUUAUUAAUGGAUGUUAUUUGGAAUUGCAACAACGAAAACUUUAAACAGGGGUAUUGCUUAGUUUGUAGUAGCUACUUCAAUUAUCUCCUUCGAUUUCCUGUUAGUUUUGCUACACUAACUUACAUUUCUUGACAAAUAGUCGUUCAAAGAUGUUCUUGUGUAAGCUUAAUUUUGCAGGUUUACAUCGACCUAAGUGUUGACUACUUAAAAAUAUUCUUGUUGAAUGUUCCAGUUGCUGCCGUUGCCCUUGGACUGGGAGUAUAUAUCUAUAAUCUGUUUACUGACCUUUCCCCUUUCCUGCACGCCUAUGUUACUCAUAGUCAUGUAUUGCUUAUUUUUUGUGAAAUUUUAUGUUUUUAUUUGAGUAAACAUGAAGGUUAUUUUUUUUAUUUAUCGUGUUUUAGCUAGUGUACCAUCUUUAACUUGUGCCCAUUCGUGAUUUAAACUUGCAGGAGCAUGGUGAGCUAAAUGGAGGAGAAAUGUAGAUCUAGCAAAUGAGAUGGGGGCUCUUGUUUGUUUUUGGGUCAUUUUGUGAUUUCUAGUAACGUUGAAUUUGUUUAUAUGAAUCUUAAUUUUAUGUAUUUUGGUCAUUAAAAACACUAAGUUAGUGAACAACUAUU